rnacentral:rRNA from 1 species
UACGGAGGAUGCAAGCGUUAUCCGGAUUUAUUGGGUUUAAAGGGUGCGCAGGUUGUUUGAUAAGUCAGUGGUGGAAGUCUGUCGCUUAACGGUAGGAUUGCCAUUGAUACUGUUGGACUUGAAUAUGGAUGAGGUAGGCGGAAUGUGUAGUGUAGCGGUGAAAUGCAUAGAUAUUACACAGAACACCGAUUGCGAAGGCAGCUUACUAAUCCAUCAUUGACGCUGAGGCACGAAAGCGUGGGGAUCAAACAGGA